GACGAACGCUGGCGGCGUGCUUAACACAUGCAAGUCGAACGGAAAGGCCCUGCUUUUGUGGGGUGCUCGAGUGGCGAACGGGUGAGUAACACGUGAGUAACCUGCCCUUGACUUUGGGAUAACUUCAGGAAACUGGGGCUAAUACCGGAUAGGAGCUCCUGCUGCAUGUUGGGGGUUGGAAAGUUUCGGCGGUUGGGGAUGGACUCGCGGCUUAUCAGCUUGUUUGUGGGGUAGUGGCUUACCAAGGCUUUGACGGGUAGCCGGCCUGAGAGGGUGACCGGCCACAUUGGGACUGAGAUACGGCCCAGACUCCUACGGGAGGCAGCAGUGGGGAAUAUUGCACAAUGGGCGGAAGCCUGAUGCAGCAACGCCGCGUGCGGGAUGACGGCCUUCGGGUUGUAAACCGCUUUCGCCUGUGACGAAGCGUGAGUGACGGUAAUGGGUAAAGAAGCACCGGCUAACUACGUG
rnacentral:rRNA from 1 species